rnacentral:rRNA from 1 species
GACGAACGCUGGCGGCGUGCUUAACACAUGCAAGUCGAACGGAAAGGCCCCUUUGGGGGUACUCGAGUGGCGAACGGGUGAGUAACACGUGAGUAACCUGCCCUUGACUUCGGGAUAACUUCAGGAAACUGGGGCUAAUACCGGAUAGGAAUCCUUGCUGCAUGGUGGGGGUUGGAAAGCUUCGGCGGUUUUGGAUGGACUCGCGGCUUAUCAGCUUGUUGGUGGGGUAGUGGCUUACCAAGGCUUUGACGGGUAGCCGGCCUGAGAGGGCGACCGGCCACAUUGGGACUGAGAUGCGGCCCAGACUCCUACGGGAGGCAGCAGUGGGGAAUAUUGCACAAUGGGCGGAAGUCUGAUGCAGCAACGCCGCGUGCGGGAUGACGGCCUUCGGGUUGUAAACCGCUUUCAGCAGGGGCGAAGCUUGUGGUGACGGUACCUGCAGAAGAAGCACCGGCUAACUACGUG